rnacentral:lncRNA from 10 species
CGCCCCGCCCGCUCGCCGCCAGCCCACUCUACAGUAGCCGCGCGGCCAGGGUAACCGCGGGCUCGCGUGGGUGCUGCUGGCUACCUGUACAACUUCGUGCUCCGGCGUCACCAGCUAGCUAAAUCCUCGCAACGGUUCUGGGCGAUAGGGGCCGUUUUUGUCCCCCUUCUUCAGCAGAUGAGGGAAUUUGUUUCAAAAAGUUGUUACCUGCUCACGGAAACAGACGUCCUAAGCUAUUAACACAAUCUCCAGCUGUGUUCUAACCAAGACAGGAACCGAAGGGAACAGUAAAAAAUCAUUUUCCGCAUCCUUUUUAAGAUGCUUGAUGUCCAGGACUUUGAAACAGCUGAUUUCUUUUUAACCACCUCUCAAUAGGAUUCAUGGAAAAAACUCUGACAAGCACAGAUUUCUGAAAACUUUAAGGUCAUACCACUGGACUCGAGAAAUAUUACUGAACACUUGUUCUGAAGGCUGAUCCUAGACAGCAAGACUCAGAGAAUUGAGAGAAGACAAAAACAUUCAUCUAAUCGGGGCGGCUGGGUGGGGUGAAGUGAACCCAGCCUGAUUACCCUUAGCAUCUAACUCCACAGAAACUCUGCUCUCUAUUUUCUCAAUCUUCUCCAAUUCUUUAUGAAGGGGUUCAGGAAAUGCCGCCCCAAAAUAUGGUGCUUUGGUGUAAUACUUUGAGCUGAAGACACUUGAAAACAGUAUAUGCAGGGAGACGCUUUCUCUGAACUCCCCUUAUCUGUCUAAAGAUAGAUACCGCAAAGGAACUCAAUUUGUCAUCAAUUUUCCAUCAGUGAAACUCUUCCAGGAGUUUCAUCCACCAGUGAAGCUUAUCUCAAUCACAAGAGAAGAGACUAGAAGCCCACACCACACUUAGACAAAUGUCACAAACGAUCAUCUGUUCUUCUAAGGGCCAUUCAUCUUUUCCCAAAAUCAUUUACUCUGCCUGAAAUUGGCUACAUCCCUGGCUUCCUUCUCGCCUAUGUAGAGGGUAUAUAAGCUCCUAAAUCUCCCGGUUUUUCAGGAGGCCCAUUGUCACCAGAAGUGUAUAGUUUCUAACAGAUUUAUACAUUGGAAGUUGAUUUUGCUCCUAAUUUCAACAUGCCUAAUGAAAUAAAUAAUCAAAACAGUCUAAAAUUCUUCCUCCUCUCUGCCUCCUGCAAAAAGACAGCGUCUGGUAUUGUCCACCCAAGCUGGAGUGCAGUAGUAUGAACUUGGCUCACCGCAACCUCCGCUUCCUGGGCUCAAGCCAUCCUCCCACCUCAGCCUCUCAAGUAGCUGGGACUACAAGCUCACAUAACCACACCCUACUAAUUUUUGUAUUUCUUGUAGACAUGGGUUUUCAUGUUGCCCAGGAUGGUCUCAAACUCCUGAGCUCAAGCGAUCUGCCUGCCUUGGCCCCCCAAAGUGUGGAGAUUACAGGCAUGAGCCACUGCACCUGGCUGAUUUAAUAAAAUAUCUUGUAAUCAAU